AGGAAUCCACUUCUGUGGCGGUCAUGAAGCCCAAGCUGUGUUAAUAGUGACUUCUGGAGGGAGCGGAGAAGAGAGUAAGGAAACAGCCUGAAAUCAAAGUGACCCAAGAAAAUUAAAUGUGAUUAUACCUGCCAGUUGCAUCCUCCAGGAAGCUGAUCUUGAGGGACUCUUCAUCUGAACACCGGCAUUAGCUGAGGGAGAGUAAGUAAGGAAGCUGUAUGUUACCAGGGAUGGAGCCUCCACCCCUCAUCUCUGGGUGACUGUACAGCUUACAGACCCCAAAGCUGAAAAUGAAACACCAAUGAGAAAUAAAUAUUUGCUGUGCUGAACCAU